rnacentral:rRNA from 1 species
UACGGAGGGAGCUAGCGUUGUUCGGAAUUACUGGGCGUAAAGCGUGCGUAGGCGGUUAUUCAAGUCAGAGGUGAAAGCCCGGGGCUCAACCCCGGAACGGCCUUUGAAACUAGGUAACUAGAAUCUUGGAGAGGUUAGUGGAAUUCCGAGUGUAGAGGUGAAAUUCGUAGAUAUUUGGAAGAACACCAGUGGCGAAGGCGACUAACUGGACAAGUAUUGACGCUGAGGUACGAAAGCGUGGGGAGCAAACAGG